rnacentral:piRNA from 1 species
UGCACCUGGAGAACUUGCCUGUACAGUAAGU